UACAGAGGUCCCAAGCGUUGUUCGGAUUCACUGGGCGUAAAGGGUGCGUAGGUGGUAGGGUAAGUUCGGUGUGAAAUCUCUGGGCCCAACCCAGAAACUGCAUUGAAUACUAUCCUGCUAGAGGUUUGGAAGGGGGACUGGAAUUCUCGGUGUAGCAGUGAAAUGCGUAGAUAUCGAGAGGAACACCAGUGGCGAAGGCGAGUCCCUGGACAACACCUGACACUGAGGCACGAAAGCUAGGGGAGCAAACAGG
rnacentral:rRNA from 1 species